rnacentral:snoRNA from 1 species
GCAUUAAUUAUGAACGAGCUAGCGUAGAUUAUAUCAUAUAAGUGUCUGAACAGCCACUGUCCAGAGGCAUAACCAUAGUCAUACUUUUUAAUGGCUCAUAAACCUGAAGGG